rnacentral:rRNA from 1 species
UACGAAGGCAGCAGUGGGGAAUAUUGCACAAUGGGCGCAAGCCUGAUGCAGCCAUGCCGCGUGUAUGAAAAAGGCCUUCGGGUUGUAAAGUACUUUCAGUCGUGAGGAAGGUGUUAAGGUUAAUAACCUUAGCAAUUGACGUUAGCGACAGAAGAAGCACCGGCUAACUCCGUGCCAGCAGCCGCGGUAAUACGGAGGGUGCGAGCGUUAAUCGGAAUUACUGGGCGUAAAGGGCACGCAGGCGGUUAAUUAAGUUGGAUGUGAAAUCCCCGGGCUUAACCUGGGAAUGGCAUUCAAGACUGGUUAGCUAGAGUCUUGUAGAGGGGGUAGAAUUCCAUGUGUAGCGGUGAAAUGCGUAGAGAUGUGGAGGAAUACCGGUGGCGAAGGCGGCCCCUGGCAAAGACUGACGCUCAUGUGCGAAAGCGUGGGGAGCGAAACAGGGAUUAGAUACC